rnacentral:rRNA from 1 species
CCUACGGGAGGCAGCAGUGAGGAAUAUUGGUCAAUGGCCGUAAGGCUGAACCAGCCAAGUCGCGUGAAGGAAGAAGGAUCUAUGAGUUGUAAACUGCUUUUGUACGAGGGUAAAUCCCGAUACGUGUAUCGGGUUGAAAGUAUCGUACGAAUAAGGAUCGGCUAACUCCGUGCCAGCAGCCGCGGUAAUACGGAGGAUUCAAGCGUUAUCCGGGUUUAUUGGGUUUAAAGGGUGCGCAGGCGGACUGGAAAGUCAGCGGUAAAAUCGAGAGGCUCAACCUCUUUCCGCCGUUGAAACUGUCGGUCUUGAGUGGGCGAGAAGUAUGCGGAAUGCGUGGUGUAGCGGUGAAAUGCAUAGAUAUCACGCAGAACUCCGAUUGCGAAGGCAGCUUGCUAGGCCGGAUCUGACACUGAUGCACGAAAGCGUGGGGAUCGAACAGGAUUAGAUACCCCGGUAGUC